rnacentral:lncRNA from 1 species
AUGCUGGCUGUGGCAUGUCCCAGGCGUGUCCCUAUCCGUGUCCAUGUGUGUUCCCAUGCUGGCUGUGGCGUGUCCCAGGCGUGUCCUUAUCCAUGUCCAUGCACGUCCCCAUGCUGGCUGUGGCGUGUCCCUAUCCACGUCCAUGCGUGUCCCCAUGCUGGUUUUGGCGUGUCUCAGGCGCAUUCCUGCAGUGGCUGUAGCAUGUCCCAGGCAUGUCCCUAUCCAUGUCCAUGCGUGUCCCCAUGCUGGCUGUGGCGUGUCCAUGCAAUGGCUGUGGCAUGUCCCUAUCCAUGUCCAUGCAUGUCCCCAUGCUGGCUGUGGCGUGUCCAAGGCGUGUCCCCAUCCAUGUCCCCACGGUGGCCAUGGCGUGUCCCUAGCCAUGUCCUUCCAUGGCCCGCCAUGGUGGUGGCCGUGUCCCCAGGAUGCUGGUGGCCGCAGCCCCGUCCUUGCAUGUCCCCCGCGGCAGCGUUGGCGUGUCCCAGUCCAUGUUCUUGCGUGUCCCCCGCAGUAGCGUUGGCGUGUCCUUGGCGUGUCCCCCGUGGUGGCCGUGUCCCCGCAGUAGCCGCAUUCCCAGGGGUCAUGAUGACCCCACGGUGGCCGUGUCCCCAUGUCAGCCAUGUCCUCAUGUCCCCCGGGUCCCCAUGGUCCCCAUGUCCCCAAAUCCCCAUCCCCUGGUCCCCAUGUCCCCAUCUCCCAGCAUUCCCAUGGUGGCCAUGUCCCCCCCGUGUCACCAUCCCCUUGGGUCCCCAUGGUGGCCAUGCCCCAGUGGCCACGUCCCCCUGUGUCCUCAUGUCCUACUGUCCCCACGGUGGCCAAGUCCUGGAGGCCCUGUCCCCCCAUGUCCCCAAUGUCCCCAUGUCCUAGUGCCCCUGUCCCCAUGUCUCCAAGUCCUGGUGUCCCCCUGGGCCCCAGGUCACCAUCCCCCCGUGUCCUCAUGGUGGCCAUGUCCCCAAGGUGGCUGCGUCCCCCCAUUCCCCCCCCGCAUCCCCCCAAUGUCCCCACGUCCCCAUGUCCGUCAGUGGCGCAGGGCCGCGUACUCCACGGUGUCCUCGGCGUCCCCGGUGUCCCCGUGGCGUCCCCGCGGUGUCCCCGGGGGGGACAGGGCCAGGGCGGCGUAGAGCAGGGUCCCUUCCUCAUCCCCGUGUCCGGGGGGGACGUUCUCAUAGUCGGGACCCUCAGGGGCCUGCGGGGACACGGGUGGCAUGGGAGGGGGACACGGGCACAGGACAUAGGGAUGGGGAUGGGACAUGGGGAUGGGGACAGAGAUGGGACACGGGGAUGGGGACAGAGAUGGGACACAAGGAUGGAGAUGGGACAUAGGGAUGGUGAUGGGACACAAGGACAUGGGGACACAGGGAUGAGGGGUGGGACACGGGGACAGUGAUGGGACACGAGGACAGUGAUGGGACACGAGGACAGUGAUGGGACGUAGGAAUGGUAAUGGGAGAUGGAGAUGGGGCACAGGACAUAGGGACGGUGAUGGGACAUGGGGACAGGGAUGGAGGAUGGGGACACGGGACAUGGGGACAAGACAUAGGGAUGGUGAUGGGACACAAGGACAUGGGGACACAGGGAUGAGGGGUGGGACAUGGGGACAGUGGACAGGACUUAGGGAUGGUAAUGGGACACAGGGACAUAGGGACAGGGAUGGAGGAUGGUGAUGGUGGUGGGACAUGGGGACACGGGACAUGGGGACACGACAGAGAUGGUGAUGGGACACAGGGAUGGGACAUGGGGACACAGGGAUGGGACACACAGACAUGGGGACACGGUGAUAGGACACAGGGAUGGUGAUAGGACAUGGGAAUCGGGGAUGACAGGGGGACGUGGAGGGACACGGGGGACACGGAGGGACACGGGGGGA